rnacentral:rRNA from 1 species
GGGGUUGUAGGACCGCGACAUUGUACUGAAAUGGUGAGUGGAAGUAUCUGGAAAGUUACAUCACAGAAGGUGAUAAUCCUGUACACGAAGCCAGAUUAGGCAUAGCGGUAUCCUGAGUAACGCGGGACACGAGGAAUCCUGCGCGAAUCUGCCGGGACCAUCCGGUAAGGCUAAAUACUCCCGUGAGACCGAUAGCGAACGAGUACUGUGAAGGAAAGGUGAAAAGAACCCCGAGCAGGGGAGUGAAAUAGUUCCUGAAACCAUACGCCUACAAGCGGUCGGAGCAUCGUAAGAUGUGACGGCGUGCCUUUUGCAUAAUGAUCCUACGAGUUACCGUCACUGGCGAGGUUGAGUGUCAUGAGACACGUAGCCGCAGUGAAAGCGAGCCUGAAGAGGGCGCACAGUCAGUGGGGGUAGACGCGAAACCAAGUGAUCUACACUUGGCCAGGAUGAAGUCCCGGUAACACGGGAUGGAGGUCCGCACCAAUAAGCGUUGAAAAGCUUCUGGAUGAGCCGAGUGUAGGAGUGAAAGGCCAAUCAAACUUGGAGAUAGCUCGUACUCCCCGAAAGGCAUUUAGGUGCCGCGUCGGAUGGUCACCGUGAGAGGUAGAGCGACCGAUAGGACAAGAGGGCUUCACCGCCUAUCGAGUCCUGACGAACUCCGAAUGCUCACGGUUUGCAGUCCGGCAGUAAGGGGGCGGGUGCUAAGGUCCGUCCCCGAGAGGAGAAGAAUCCAGACCGCCGUCUAAGGUCCCGGAGUUCUGCCUGAGUUAGUCUAACGAAGUCUGGUCCCUAUGACAGCUAGGAUGUUGGCUUGGAAGCAGCCAUUCAUUCAAAGAGUGCGUAACAGCUCACUAGUCGAGGGUCCGGGCAUGGAUAAUAAUCGGGUAUAAGGCAGACACCGAAGGCGCGGGAUAGCAAUUUUAAAAGUAUCGGUAGGGGAGCAUACUCACAGCGUCGAAUGGUGUACGUAAGUUAUCCUGGAGCGGUGAGUAAAGCAAAUGUAGGAAUAAGUAACGAUAAGGAGGGUUAGAUUCCCUCCCGCUGUAAGACCAAGGUUUCCCGGGCAAUGCCAAUCAGCCCGGGGUCAGUCGGGUCCUAAGUCUAAGCCGAACGGCGAUGGCGAUGGCAGAGACGGUUAAUAUUCCGUCACUGCCGCAUG